CGGGGUGUAGCUCAGUUUGGUAUGAGCGCUACGUUGGGGACGUAGAGGCCGCUGGUUCAAGUCCAGUCACUCCGACCA
rnacentral:tRNA from 4 species